GAUGAACGCUGGCGGCGUGCUUAACACAUGCAAGUCGAACGGUGAAGCAGAGCUUGCUCUGUGGAUCAGUGGCGAACGGGUGAGUAACACGUGAGCAACCUGCCCCUGACUCUGGGAUAAGCGCUGGAAACGGCGUCUAAUACUGGAUAUGAGCUGCGACCGCAUGGUCAGCAGUUGGAAAGAUUUUUCGGUCUGGGAUGGGCUCACGGCCUAUCAGCUUGUUGGUGAGGUAAUGGCUCACCAAGGCGUCGACGGGUAGCCGGCCUGAGAGGGUGACCGGCCACACUGGGACUGAGACACGGCCCAGACUCCUACGGGAGGCAGCAGUGGGGAAUAUUGCACAAUGGGCGAAAGCCUGAUGCAGCAACGCCGCGUGAGGGAUGACGGCCUUCGGGUUGUAAACCUCUUUUAGCAGGGAAGAAGCGAAAGCGACGGUACCUGAAGAAAAAGCGCCGGCUAACUACGUG
rnacentral:rRNA from 1 species